rnacentral:rRNA from 1 species
CACGUAGGGUGCGAGCGUUGUCCGGAAUUAUUGGGCGUAAAGAGCUCGUAGGCGGUGUGUCGCGUCGGCCGUGAAAACUUGGGGCUUAACUCUGAGCUUGCGGUCGAUACGGGCAUCACUGGAGUUCGGCAGGGGAGACUGGAAUUCCAGGUGUAGCGGUGAAAUGCGUAGAUAUCUGGAGGAACACCGGUGGCGAAGGCGGCGUUCUGGACUGUUACUGACACUGAGGAACGAAAGCCAGGGGAGCAAACGGG